GAAAUUACAAGGGAAAAAGCGCGAAUGAGAUAUUCCAUCAUCGCGAAAUUGCGACGCUAUCUUUUUUCGGAUUUUUCUACUUUCGAUGUACAUUCAGGUGAAAAGAAAAACAGAAAAAUUAUAAGCAAGCGAGAAUAAUUCAUGAUUUAUUGUCGCAUUUAUUUCUUAUUUUUCUCCUCCCUUCUAUUUACUCUCAUUUAAAUAUUAAUCCUUUGAGGACGGUAGAUAUAUAUAUAUAUAUACGUUUUAAGAUCUUUUUUCAAAAAAUGACAAACAUAUAUGUAUAUAAGUUUUUAAUUUUUAUCGAUAAAUGUCAUUUUUUAUGUUUUUCACUCAUUUUCCUCCUAAAAUUUGAAGUUUUCUGAAAAUGGAAUCAAUUUGUGAUUUAAGAGUUCAAUUGAUCAGAGAAAUUAUCACUCAACAUGCGAAAUCAAUUGGAAGAAGAACAAGUAUAGGAGAACAUCCGGAAAGAUUUAUUGAUUCAUUUCUCUUCUCUCAAUUCAUUCAAUUUGAGCCUGGUAAAAAAGAAAAACAAAGAAGAUGUGUCUAUAUCAAUGAGAAAAGAAAAGAUCAGAGUCAAGCGGCAGAGAAAGAGAGAGAGAAAAGGAGAGAGAGAGAGAGAAAGAGAGAAACCUACCUCCGUCUUGAGAUAUUUGCACCGGUUGCCCGUUUUGUCCUAUGCCGAGCAAGACCCCUGGACUGGGCGAAUAAAUGACACUCUGAGGCAUCUGGUACAUCAUCCCUGCAGAGAACGAAGGCACAUUUCCUAGGAAAUCAAAGAGAAAUUGAACUUGAGUGGCGCCUAACGUCAACAAUUGACGUGGUCGAAGAUGUAUAUGCUGAGAAAAACUUAGGAAUGACGGUCUCGAGCCGAGACUUCAAUCCAGACCACCCAGGUGCGAGUGCAUUGCGCUCUGAUUCACCGAAUCUCCACACGUUUAACAUAAAAUCACUACAUAUGCAUAUUUCUUAGAAAAAUACGGUAAGUUUUUCAAGGAACGAAUCGCCGGCGCGAAAAUAAUUAAACAAUGAAAAUUGUAAUCUCUUCUUCGAGGAUCACCGCGAGAGAUAAUCUUGAUACUUUUCAAACUGAUCUGAAUUGACUUGCGACAUAUAAUAUCAUUUUAUAUAAAGCCUUCCAAGAAAUAUCGUAUUCCGAUAACAAGAGUACUUGAAUCCAAGAAGGGAGAGAUUAGCAAGUUCGUGUUAGCGGAGCAAACAUUUCCUUCCACCUUACAUAUUCAACUAUAGAUGUAUCAGUCUUCGGAAAGCAAUUAUAAGGUAUAUAUAUUUUUUUUUAUGCGUGCUUUCUUUCGGCUCAUUAAAUCGAUGGUGUGAGGUGCGUCUGUUAGGGGCGCAUCCAAAAACUCUCUCGGAAACAAUCAUAUUAUGUAGAGUGUAUACGUACACACACAUACACGGAGGAGAAAACAUAUCGUAACGUCUUUCGCGUACGCUUUCUGCAUUCGAACGAGCAAACGCUCCUAAUUAAAAGUGACUCGCACGGCCAACGUCCAUCCAUUCGCUCAUGAUAAUGGGACCUCUCGCGCGGACGCGCGCCUUCGUUAUAUCGCAGGGAUGUAUUAUACAUUUGUUCGCUCUCUCUCGCGAAUACGGAGGGGCAUAACAACCGGUGGGAUUAUUAUCGAAUUGGAACGGGCCCUGUUCGACGAGAUCGCGAGGAGAAAAAAAAAAUCGACGCGCUCGCGUCUCGGACAGCGCGGCGGCGCGAUAGAAUGGCAUCCACGCGACAUAUUAGCAUCGAUAUUUAUGUGUACACCUGCACCGCCGCGCCGUUUUCUGCGGCGGCUUUCGCGACCGGAUCCUACUUCCCAGUUAGGCAGCACGGUUGUCGUCUAAGUUUGGUCAUCGUCGGCCGUACGCGACUCCUUACGGGCUCCCUACACGGAUAACCCCGUCAUCGUUUGCACGCCUUUCGCAUUUUAAGAGCAUCCUCUCCCCUUCCCCCUGCUUCCUCCACGUGUUCUCUUCCUCCUCCUUUAUCUCUCUCCCACCUUUUUCUCACGCUUCGUUCCUUCUGGUCUGUCUCCUCUCCCUCAAGCAUCAAAGUUACCUCCUCUCGGCCGGUGGAUAUGUUUACCUGUCUACUCACUUACCUGCGCGUCUUGAACAGCUGUUCAUUAUCAGCCGCGAUGAGGUCAAGCGCGACACAAAUGGUGAUCGGCGACAAUUGAACGUGAUUAGCAUCAGAUGAGGCGAGGGAGGACGACGCGAAUCGAAACUGUUAACGCGCUAAACUGUCUAUUUUUUCUCAACCCUUAAUCGGUCGGGUAUAUAUAGGUCAUUUUGACCCUGUUGAUAUUUUAACAAUAGAAUAUCCCAAAGACCUUAAUCAAUAAAAAAGAAAUAUUUAAAAUUAUUUUUUAACUUUUGACAUGAUUAUUUUUUACAGAUAUCAAUCAAGGAAUAUAUAUAAUAUAAUUUUUGGUGGAUCUUUUCAAGUACUUUGAGAGCUAAGUGACUCAUAUGUGACCAGGAACAGAGCAAAAAAAUGUGUGAUCUACAAGGGUCAAUUUACUUCUUAAUCGCGAUAUUGAUUGAUAAACCAUGGGAUAAAUAAUUUCCAUUUUUCGAACAGAAGAAAAGAUACAUUGGCAAUAUGCGUAGAUUGAAAGUGAGUUUUGCGUUAAGAUUCUAAAGUUUCGUUACAUGGAAGGUCUAUUUCUCCAUUUGGAACAGCGAAAGGUACAUCAUGAAUAUAAUCACGGCCACGGUGAAUAACAGAAAAUCGACGUAACCGCAGAACUUAAUCUAACUAGAACUUCGCAGAAACUCCGGACGGUUAAUAAUUAUGCCUGCCUAGUGGUGAAUAAUACACGUGUUUGCUCCGCAAUAAUGUGACCGAUAUUCGCAAGUCUUUCGUCUCCUUCGUGAAGAGGAAACCACAUAAACCUCGUCAUUUGAAAAAAAGAUCGUGAAUCGAUGCGGUCGAAUCUAAUUCGAAACAUAAAUGUGCCAUUUUUAUAUCCAAUACACAUUUUCCUAUUAAGUAUUUAAAUGAUAAAUUUUCUACCGUUUUAAACGAACAUAUAGAAAAUAUUAGAAAUCUAUUGAAUAUCUAUAUUUUAAUUAAUUGAAUAUAGAGUCUAUUGCCAUGAAAAAAUUCGUCCUUCUGUCAAAACAAAAAAAGAUAUAUUUUUAUCCAAAUACACACGCGGGAUAUAUAAUGUUAUUUAAGAAAUACGCUUGUCGCCUCUAAUAUUUAAGAUGUUAUACAAUCCUUAUAUAAUUUUUCAAAAAAUAUAGAGUAUUCCAUAUAUAUUUUCUAUAUUUUUAUAGAAAAGAUUCCAAGAGGAGAAUGAAAAGUGGAUUUUCCGAAUUCUAAUCCAAGUAUGGCUUUCGACAGUUCUUUCGCAUUCCGCUACAAUGAACCGCGCAUAAUGAGAG